rnacentral:lncRNA from 1 species
GGGGAGGGUUUCAGUCUGCGUGCCCGGAACUGGAGCUGGGUGUGAAUCGUGAGGCGCCUGACACCUAGAAGGCACUGGGCUGAGGAGAGGAGGAGGAAAGAAAGUGGAGGCCAGGCGGCCGGGACGGGACGCGGUCUCUCCUGGGACCUCUGCCGCCCAGGCGCCUCGGGCCACAGGGCAACCUCGCUGCUUUCCCCGUGCUGUUGCAGGACGAUCGCGUGCACAAGGAGGCGCCCUCGGCCGCCCGGGAACCCCAGGGCAGCCCGGGCCGCGGCGCCUCCGCAGUCUCCGUGUGCACUGGGGCUGCGGCCAGCAAGCGGCGGCGAACGUCCCGUGAGAACGGAAGAUGCUCGGUCGGGUUGGACCCGGCCUGGGCGCGAUGCCCCGGUUCCCUUCUGCCGCCACCGCCCCCCAACCCCGCCCGCCUCGCCCGCCUCGCGGUCGCCAUGGCAACCUCCGCGUGCCGAGCUUUCUCCCGGUGUGAUCAGGCCCGGAACCGUCUGGAACCCGCAGUGCUGACCGUUUCCUGCCGGAAGGAAACGCUGCUGGCCGUCGGAUCUGGGUUCCCCGCCACCCUGCUGACUCCUUCGGCCUCGGGGGCUGUGGGGCUGCAAGCUCUCAGCCGGCCCGGCCCACGUCCUGCUAGCUGCGUCCUGGCUUCCCGCAGUCUCCAAACGUGAGUUUCCUCAUCUAUAAGAAUAUGUCAAGCAUCACAUGAAUUGAUCCAGUUGCCUCUUAAUAUCGGUGGCGGAUGAAUUCCAGAACUCCUAAUACCGAGCCCUGUGGACACCAAGUCCCUUUAAUAAGAUGGCAUAGCACUUACAUAUAACGUACAUAAUCCCCCCUAUACUUCAGAUCGCCUCUGGAUUACCUAUAAUAUCUAACACAGUGUAAAUGCUAUUAAAUACUUGUUAUAUUGUUUAAGGAAUAAUGACAAGAAAAUUUUUUUCACAUGUUCAGUAAAGAUGUAACUUUAAAAAUAUUUUAUUUACUCUUUGUUUGAAACCAUGGAUAUAGAACCCG